AGUUUCGUUUUAAUAAGUCUGCUUUAAUGUUUAAUUGUACAAUGAUUAGGAAAAAACCCUCCCAGAUACGUAAUAGCCAAGACAGCAUUGCAUUUCAUUGGAAAGACAAUGAGAGGCCCAUAGGAGAAACUCUUGAUCAGUUGUUGAAUUGUGAAAUUGCAUUGGAUAAAAUUCCAAAAAUAACUGUAAGUUAUAGAAAAAAUAUUCUAUACACAUCAGAUAACAGGCGACUUUGGGUAUUUAAGACACUCGAAAACCUUGGAGAAUGUGAAACCAUUUGGGUGAAAUUAGGGAAAAUACCCAAUCGGAAAUUUACCACAAGAAACCAAUGAACCUCAAUCUAUAUAAGAGGAAACCCUGGUGGAAGUGUUUGGAAAAUGUGGGGAAAAGAGAAGACGCAUUCGUCUCUUCACAAAAGUCAGGAUACCAAUGAGAGUGUCAAUGCUGAUAUAAAAUCGAAUUAUAAACAGGAAAAUGAAGAAUGGGAGAAUGACCGAGCAUCACCGCUCGAAGAAACUAAACAUAUUGAUGAAUUGAAAAGUGUUUGUUUAAGUGAUAUUGGAUACUUUCAAAUUAAGCCUAUUUCUGAUGCGGAAAUCUUAGGGACAUUAUUAGAUGAGUGUCUGCAGAAAGAUUUACCAAAAAGAUGUUUUGAGGUGGAGAUAUUUCCAUUACAUGGAAAAUUCUACUGUUCAGAUUGUUAAAUAUUAUGGAUUCUAAAAAAUCUCGAAACAUUUGGUAAGAGACCGAAAAUUAACUUAAGAAGAAAAGACACGUCCUUUCAAAAGGCUGACGAUAGAAUAUUAAUUUUUUUUUGCGACUCGUUAAAAUUGGCGUCAAACACUUCCAUUAGUGGAUUGGUGUGGAAAAGUAUCGAGUAUUUGAAUCAAUUACCAACUUUGAAGACAGUUACACUGCGUAUAAGUCAAAUAUAUUUCACUGAGACAACUGUCACCGAUACAUACGAAAAGAAGUCCAUUGCAAAAGUCUUGGCUGACUCAAAUGCCACUAUGACAGUUCCAAGAAACCCUCGAGUUGUUAAAUUCAACGGAAAAUUUUAUGCGCUCGAUAACGAAAUCUUGUGGAUUUUAAAAGAAAUGCAAAAAGUCAGCACCUCAACUCUAUUUGUAGAAGCUAACGUAAAAAUUGAAAUGGAUGAGCAUCUUUUCAAAAGUUUCUGUUCAGAUAAUAACAUUCAAAAAGUCCUUCAUUAUUCAGUACAUCAAAUCAAUGUCAACGUGAUCGCUUUUUGACAAAAUGAACAAAAAAAUAUAGUAAAUGACAAAAAAAAAACCUUUUUGUUGUUAAUUUUCUAUUUGAUUGUAUAAUGUUUUAAUCUUCAGUUGUAAAAUUAAACAAAGAACACAAUGUAAUAUGAUAUCAAUAAUAAAUGGUAUUCCAUUCUAUUUAACAAAGGAUUUAUGGACGUUAGAUAU
rnacentral:sRNA from 1 species